UAUGGCCACAUCACAUUGAAAUACCAGUUCCCAUAUGAUCACCAAAGUUAAGCAAUGUCAAGCCUAGACAGUACCUUGGUGGGUGACCACUUGGGAAUACCAGGUGCUGUAAG